GGACCCCCACUGGCCCUGCCCUGCCUGGCCCCUCCCCCCACCAGCUCCCCAGGCCCCCCCCAAACCCUACCCUGCCCAGUCCCAUCCUCCCAAGCCCCCCCACCCUGAUCCCUGCUCCUCCCCCCCCCAGUUUAAAAAAACAACAACAAAACCCCCCCGGCACUUACCAGUAGUUGGAGUUGCCGUCUGGCUGACUGGGGCCCCACCUGCACAGUGCAGGGCAGAGGGACAGCCCCAGCGGCCCCAGCCCGGGCCCUCCUGUUCCCCGCUGUCCUGUGCUGCCCAGGGGAGAAGCUCAGGAGGCCCUAGAGGCCAUCCCCCCUCGCCCCACUUCUAAGUUUUCCAGGAACAGAAGUUGCAGGGGUUGCUUCACUGCCUGGCAACUGGCCCUCCCCCUUAUGAGGACCUCAUGGAGUAGCUCACCACCCCUCAGCCCUAGGAGCCUCACCAUUGCCCCCCUCUUCAAAGUCUAUGGCUGCUGGAUGCGCCCCCACAGGUGCCAGGUACUCUCCCACCUCCAGGAGGGGGUGGGGCAUUCUCUGCUCUUCCUGCAGGCGACCCACAUGCCCCUGGCUGCUGAAACCAGCUGGCAACUGGAGUGAGGAGGACAGAGUCUACUUCAGCCACCUCAUAGACACAUCGUGUGGGGUGGCCAUCCUGUUCUCCCUGGGCCUGCAGCCAGAAAUCGAAGUGGUGCCACAUUACCUGCUCCAUCUCUCAGCCCAAAUAUAGGGGAUUCCACCUAAACUGGUCAACACCAACACUGCUGUUCAAGACUUGGGGAAGGCGUGGUUCUACCAGCUGGUAGCCAAUAACAUCAGCACCCUGAGCCCUUAUGAGUGCCUGGUUCUUGGCAGUGACUUUAACAUUGCCCUUAAGAUGCAGGACUGAACUGUCAGGGAGUGGACCCAGGCCACUGCAGACAUCCUGGUGAGGUGGAGGGUGAGGAGGUGGGGGGGGUCUCCUUGAUGGAUGCCUGGUAUGCCUGACACUCUGCUGACAACACCACAUUCCCCCUUGUAAAGGUAGAGAAGCAUUAAGCAGACCACUCCCUGCUAAGAGCCUGCCCAAUCGCUGCCCAAGCCCAGACCUCUGGCAUUCGGCCAGUCCCUUUCAAUCACUGUUACUUAGCCCAUGCUCAGGCUGCUUUGUGGCCUGAGUGCCUGGGGCUGGCCUACUAACACCUCAACAACCACCUGCUGGAGCAUGUGAGCUUUGAGGCUUCCUUCCAGGAGUUCUGGUUGUCCUGGCGUGAGCAGCAGUGGAUCUUUCCCUUGGUGAGAUUUGGAAAAGGUGCAUGUGAGGCUUUGGUGCUACAUCUACCCCCAGGGGCAUACCCAGCAGAGGGAGAUAGCCGGAGAGCAGCUGGAGAGGGAGGGAUUAGUGCUGGAGAGGUUCUUGCCAUCAACCCAGAUCAACUCAAAACCAGGGUGUCUAACUAGCUGUAGGUGUGGAAAAGGCUCCUCCAGUGUAAUGCCCUCCAUGGGAUAGUGCUGGUCAGCAACCAGCCGAUCCGGUCCAUGCUGUAACACUGCUUCAACACCCUGUCCAUGCUCCUGGAGCUCAUGGCCAGCCUUCAGAGAUGGGCACUGGGGUUCUUCUGGCCAGGAUGUCACUGGGUUUCUGCAGGUGUCCUGAGCCUCCCUGUGCAUGAGGUAGGGCAAGGCCUGGUCUGCAUCUACAGCCAGAUGCCCACCUUUCGCCUUCAGGCCCUGCAGAAGUUCCUUUAAGGUGCUGGUAGUUGUGGGGGUGGGGGGUGCCCCAUAGGACACACCAUCCACCACAACCUCCAAAGACUCUGAUAUGACCAGCAGCUCUUCGACUUGAGAGGCCUACCUUUGCAAGACCUUGGGGAGCUGCCAGAGUUCUACCAGGACCUCCUUAGGGCCUGGGGGUUACUCCUCCUCCAGGUCCCCAGAUGCAGUUGCCUAGGCCAGGGCAUGGACCCCCUUGUUGAGCUGUAAGUGAUCUUCCUGCAGUUAUACUGUAAGUAAGGACAGUUGGUUGUGGAAACAUGGUGACCUUCACCAUCCAUUCUGCUGUUGGGCAAUAUAGCAGAGAACUGGAAGGUGUUCAGAGAAAGGUUUUCAUGGGGGCCAAGGAGAAAACUGACAAAGCCACCUCUUCAAUCUCCUUGCAUAUUGUGGGGAGGAAAGCCCUGGCUGUUUAUCACACCUUUACCUUAGAAGGAAGCCAAAAUAUGCAGCUAAGUGUAACCAUGGGUACUGUAUGCCGGAAAGGAAUGAGACCCUUAAAAGACACAGAUCUUUUAUGUACAGGCAAACAACAGAACCAGGUAUAGAUCAGUAUGUCACUGGACUAGAGAGACAGUGUAAGACCUGUACUUUUGGGAACAGGACAGUCUUAGAUUAGAGGAAGGAUUAUUUGGCAUUGCAGACACUGCAUUAUAAGUGAGGCUGUUGUGUGUGGGAGACUGUACCUAGAAAAGCCUACCCAAAUGUGCAGAGCAGCAGAAGCAGUGAAGACCCAGGCUGCAGAGCUGGUUGGAAAAAAAAAGGGUCUCCAUGGCCAGAAAGAAACUGGCCAGAAAAGCCACCUUUGUAGGGUGGAAUUGGGAAGGACAAUGCUAAGGGGGAAAGAGCAAACAAGAAGACAAGUAGCAAGUGUGAAAUGUUGCAUUGCAUUUGGAGAGCUCUGUUUUAACUGAAACCAAAUCAUUUUGCCAAGCAUUCCAGAUCCCAAAAACAAAAUCCUCAAGUGUAUGGAGCUGAGAGCAUACCAGAAGUGUGUGUGUAUAAUAUGUGUAUGUGUGUGUACACAUGUCCGUGCGUGUGUGGUAGAAUUGAGCCAAAUCAUUGAGUGGGAGUGGAUUGUAUCAGUGGCAGUGCAUAGGACAAUGGUUUAAUUUCAGAUAGAAACUGAAACUCAGAUAAAUCUCUUACCAGGCUACAAAUAAAGAAAAUUAAAACUGA